AGAAAACUUGUAGCCUGGCAGCGUAGAUGUGACCUAGAGAGAAUCAACGACUUUCUUCACGGGCCUUUGAAUCUGCCAGAUCCAUCCUCCUGGCAGACGCCUUAUACAGGUGACAUCCAAUGUCUUCUCACCUUUCGCAGACAUCCUUCUGAACCACUUGUGCCCACCCAGUCUGCACACUGCAUUGUGACCCACUUCCAAACCUCCUGGAUGACUUGAAAUCAAUGCUUACUGAGAACAAAGUUGGAAAAGGAAUAUGGAAUUUCUUAACUUGUAGUAGAAAAGGUAGAGUGCUCAUGAU